UUCGGUCCAACUUUUUGCUGCCAAUCAUAGAUAAUGACGCAUCCUGCAAUCAAGACAUGCCGAUGGUCCCGAGGGGAACAACGCCAAGCAAGCAUUGAAUCAAAUAACCCUGGUAUGAAAUCGCAAAGAAAUUUGUGCACUUGCUUAUUUAUUCCAACUUUUAAUCAAUUCGACACUGACUCAAUCAUCAUCACCCUUCAUUUUCUACAGUUUUUUUGCUGCAAAACAAGUGACAAUCCUUGUUGCCAUCUCAUGUGAAACAGCAGACAUGUUUCAAAAACACCAUAAUACACUUCAGAAUUCAACGGUUUUGUUGUCAAACACAGUUUCUGAAAAUGUGUAGCGUCACAUACAGGUCCA
rnacentral:lncRNA from 1 species